CGCACGGGUGAGUAACACGUAGGUAAUGUGCCUUUGGGUGGGGAAUAACUUAGGGAAACUUAAGCUAAUACCGCAUAAUGCAGCGGCUCCUUCGGGAGACAGUUGUUAAAGAUUUAUCGCCUAAAGAGCAGCCUGCGGCAGAUUAGCUAGUUGGUAAGGUAACGGCUUACCAAGGCUACGAUCUGUAUCUGACCUGAGAGGGUGGUCGGACACACUGACACUGAAUAACGGGUCAG
rnacentral:rRNA from 1 species